UAGUUUUAUUGUGAAAUCAGAGUUGUGUAAAUCAGGCACAUAAGGAAAGAUUUAGGGGGAAGAUCGUCCUCUUCGGAAACAGAGUUCUCUGAUCCCUGAUCCACAUUUGCAAGCCCCCAGGGUUGUUUCAAUUUUGCCAGUGAGUUUCAAGAACUUACUUUGAAAACUCUUGAAACGACAUUAAGCCCUUGAAACUUUUUUGGCAAGAUGCCGUGGUGCCUUUGUAGAAAAGAAAGGAGUGAUUACGACAUGGAACCGAUGGAAACAAGGAUAGUGUCUACCUUCCCGAGAAUUGACGUCGCAUUAAGAUUAGCUCCCGAUGAAAAGAGCUAAGCUGUUACCAUAAGCCCUGUUUCACAGAACCCACAGUUUUUGACCGUGCACACGGCAGCACAGGAUAAGGACUACGUACAUUUCCUGGCCUCCCUUGCAGAUAGUGUCCGUGUGACCUAGUUCUGUUCAAUGGGAGGCAAGCAGAAGUGGUGUGUGCAACUUGAUUGCUCACAUAGUGACUGUCGAAAAUGAACCUGAUGGUGGAGCUUCAGAUGACAUAGAAAGCCAGUGGAGGAGACGCUUUUGGUUAGGUUGCUUUGUAUGUCCUACUAACCUCGGGCAGACAGUCCCCCUUCCGUCCGGCUUGUGACCUUGUUUAAGUCCUGUAAAGGAAGACCCAAAUUCCCAGGAAUCAUCAGUGAUUUCUAGUCAUUACGGAAAUACUAUGGGCAAAGUCUCCAGAAAGAAGGCAUCCAUCUUUAAGGAUCUGAGGGUCAACUAAAAUUGUAGGAGAAAGUAAUUACGAGCGAGAUAGAUCUGUGAUUAUGACAUUGCUUGGGACGAGAAACGAAAAUAUCCACAAACUCCCCGAGAGAGGACUCAGAAUGGGAGAGCUGGGGUGUCACCAGGAUAGACCUUGCCCAAACCCCCAUGGUUUCUGCCUCCACUCUCUUUCCAGGAUACUGUGGGCAUAAUCGGAGGGCAGGACCAUGUCCAUUCCUCUUGGUGCCUUGGCAUCUAGCUACAGUACCUGGCACACAGCUGGUGCUGGGGGAAAAAGCAAUGAAUGAACGAACGGAUGAAUGAAUGAACACGGUGACGAAGUGUUGCCGUGAAGUCAGUCAGGUGUGUGCAGCCUGAACUGCCACUUAGGCAUCUGUCACCUACUUCCCCUAUUCGUCUUGCCAAUUUCUUCGUCGUCCUUUAAUCGCAUCACUCAGACCUCUCAGCACGGCUUCAGUCGCGGCGUCGUCACUCACAGUGGCAGGUGUCAGGCUUCGCCCACUGCAUUAUUCAGUGUGUCACGAGCUGCCUCUGUUCUAAAGGAGAAGGAGCCUCAAAAAAGUGGCUUCCCUACUUGCAGGCAUGACACAGUGUCUUUGCUGCACGAACUUUUGGUCUCCCGCUUGGAUCCUACGGAGGUAACCUUUGCGGGGGCCUCAGGGAAAGUGGGACAAAGUGGGUAAUGGCACUGAGUGAAGGCAGUACAGACAACACCUUCCUCUGGGCUCUUAGACAAGCCUUUCCUGGCCCUCUCUGCCCCAGUCCCUCUGCAAUAGGACAGGGGUGGCUGUACCCCCUUGUGCCACCUUCCGGGGUUCUCAUGAGAAAAAUAGACGGAGAAGCUCUUUGAAAAAUUUGAUGUUCUAUUUAAAUGUUCUCUCUGGAGAAUGAAGUUUUCCUAGGGGCACAUCUUUUAGCUUUUCCUAUAACCCUGUCGCUCCCUAAGCCUUUUUCUUUUCUUUUUUUUUCCUAAAUGAGAGAAAAAAAAAUCCCAUGUGCCAUUUCCUCCUCCGCCUUUCUCUCAUUAGGAUUAAAAAAAAAAAAAGGCAUUAUUUUCUGAGUUCCUCAGCAACUGAACUUUACGAGAUAGGAAAUUCUCAAUUCUGAGUCAAAAUUCACAUGUAAACCGAUUUUCUUAACCUGAUGGCUACUUAUACAUUCAGAAAAGCUUCAGAUUUCUGUCUUCACAUUACCGUGAACUCUCCAUUUCUCCUGAACUUGUUCAUCAGUCUCUAGAAAAUUCUCCCAGCAACUCCCCCCACCCCCCCCCCCCGCCCACAGUAAGGUCCUCCAGAUCAGUGUGAAACCCUUAAUUUAAUAACACCAUUAUGGCUUCCCAACAUGGGUAAAUGAGAUAAACUACAUAUACGCCAGGAAAGAAGGAAAUUAAUUUUUCUCAGUUGAAAAAAGGAGAAAGCCUUGCAAAAGCAGUAAUUUGACAGCUAAUAGCAGUAGGGAUCAUGGAGAAUCCCGAAUCAAGAGGUGGAGAGGUCAUGUAUCCUUGACAGGUUUCAGAAUACCUCCAGAGAUCCCAACAGCCACAGAUUGGAAAAGACCCAAGAGGCAAAACAUUCCUUAAGACACGAGAAGUGAUGGAUGGGAGUCUGAAAAGAGAGGACCCCGUCCUAUUCCGAACUCAGGUUUGACACCGGGGAUUCACAUUAAAUCCAGAGUCCCCAGAACUUGUGUUUUAGCUACGUCAAAGACUUUUAGUCAAUGUGUUGUUCAGGUCAUGAGCAGAAGACACCCAGCACCUUGUUUUCUAGACCCAGAUUUUUGGGGAGUGGAAGGGAAGAGAUUCAUAAUUUACAAGACAUUUGAAGUAAAAUAUAGGGGCACCUGGGUUCAGUAGGUGAAGCAUCCAACUUUGGCUUGGGUUAUGAUCUCGCGGUUUGUGAGUUUGAGCGCCACAUCAGGCUCGCUGCUCUCAGCACAGAGGGCACUUCAGAUCCUCUGUCCCCCUCUGCACCUCUCUGCCCCUCCCCCUGCUUGCACUCCCUCAAAAAUAAAUAAACAUUUCUUAAAAUAACGUAAAGUGUACACUAAGAUGAUUAAAACAACGUGUAGUAAUAUUUGGGGGUCAAUGCAAAUGGGUACGCUGUGACCAAAACGUGCCGAUCGUGUAAAGGUUGGCUGCGGACUAGUAGGUAAAAGAGCCAGGAAGGAGGCCCGGAAUUCAUCACCGAUCCCAAGCUGGGAAAUACGCCAACUUUACUGCAUUAUUCUUGUGGGGGGAAACAACCCACCACGAUUCUAGAAUGCAUUAAAAAGUAAAUCGCAUCCGAGGGAAGGAGAAAUAGUCAUUUUGUUAUGCUUCCCAGUGGACUCUUAGAAAACCACAAGCCAACUUGAUUAUUGCACUUUUCCAAAGAUAUGGAAAGACUUGAGACCAUCCAGAAAGAACGACACAAAUGUCACGAGAGGACGCGUGCGUUCGUCCCGUGAGGGAAGGUUAAAGCCUCAGGACUAUUUCACCUCAAAAGGGAUGAAGUGUCGUUGUUUCAAACACAUGACAGGUUUGGAGCAGGAGGAGGCUGGUCUUUUGUUUCCUGAGUCUGUGGAGGCCACGACAAACAGUAUAGAUGGAAAUAAGGACGAUAAAUAAGCCCUCUGGUGGCUUUCUGUUUCCUACAGACCACGGCAAAGCUCCUUUGCAGUGCAAGCCCACUUCUCAUCACUGCCACCAUUUGGCUGCAAACCCAUGCCAGCUGCUGUCCCUCUGCCUCUGUUCCUUUGUGCCUUCCACACAUCUUCUUGUCUCCACCAGCCUGGCUGGCAACUUUGCAGGUCCUCUGGGUUGUACCCACUCAUGUUUCUGGCUUCUCCCAACACCAGGAGCUCCCAGCAACGGCGCUGGACCCAAGUGGGAACCCAGUGGAAGGUUGUUAAAUCAAUGAACAAUUUAAAGAGGAAAUACUUCAUGCUAAAGCAAAGGCCAGGAGAGAGAUGCCUAUUAAGGAAUUUGGGGGCAAAAUGCUGUGUGCUGUGCUCUGUGAACUCCUCUUCACCCCCCCGACCCAGUCUUCAGUCAAACCUACGCUGCUCACUAGUACUUUAGGCGGCGGGUUUUCUUGGGACGCCUGGGUGGCUCAGUCGGUUAAGCAUUUGACUCUUGAUCCCGGCUCAGGUCGUGAGCUCGAGGUUUGUGGGAUUAAGCCCUGCAUCCAAGCCCUGCUUGGGACUCUCUCUCUCCCUCUCUCUGCCCUAUCCCCACUUGCACUCUCUCUCUCUGUUUCUUUCAAAAUAAAUAAAUAAACUUGACGUAGUGGGUUUUGCCUCUGGGAAUGUAGUUCAGUGGGUAGUUCUGCUUCAGGGUGACGAGGGGCGGAACACCUGUGGCUGUCCAACACCUGUGUAACAUGGAAAAUCUGCUUUGCCUUUGAAGAAGUUUUGCUCAUCCUCCUGUUUACGUCUAGGAUCGAAUCCCUCGAGAGGACUUUUCUCGGUCUCAUUUCCUCACUGAUCCCAAAAAAGAGUUCGUGUAGCUAGCUGAGUAACUAGCUUUUCCCAUGGUAGGUUCCCAAUAAAUUCUUCAGAUCUCAUGGUAGUUCAACACCCAUGCCCAUUCUGGGGUAGGAGCCAUUGAAUUUCUCCAUUACGCUGACCAUCCACGGCUUAGCCCACCUCGGCCUGUCUGUGCAGAAUUGUUGCUUAGAGAGUAUUGUCCUGGGAGCCACACAGCCUCCUGGGAGGAGGUGGAUGGAGAAUCUUUUAGAGUUACUCGGCACCUCCACUUGACCUGGGCCCGCUGCCCGGCGAACUUGACGAAGUACAGGGAGAACGCAGUGGUAGCAAUUGGCCCUCUACCACCGGAGACCUCGUUUGGCAAACUCUAUUUUCCUGAAGCCAUACUGCAUUUUACGAGACCAGAAGGGAUGGCGAGACUUCAGCUAGGUCACGCCUGUCUGUCUGAGCAGAACGGAACUCUAGUUCAGAGUUAGUUCCGAAGAGCUAGUUGCAGAAAGCUGGCUCUUCCUCUAAAUCCCUACAUGCCCCGAUGACAUUUCAUCUUUUUAUUUGUUUCCAAACCACGUUCCUCUCCCAAACAAGCCUUUGCUGUGUUUGCUUUAAGAUACAUUAGAACUCCAGUUUCCCACUGUGCCUUUGUACCCCUUUGCCAAAAUUAUGCAAAUUAAGAAUAACCCCAAUCUGGUUGGGGUUGCUGGUGAUUGAAGAGUAAUUGGGCUGUAAUGUGCUAAUCCGUAUGCUAAUAUUUGUCCCUGAAGAUACAGAGACCUGAAAACGCUAAUGUGAGAGCCCCUCCAUAACAGACUAAGAUAGCUGGGAGUUUGGGGGAGGAGGAGAGAGGCGGGGAGCCAGAUGGGGCUGAGAAGUCGCAUGAGGGAAUGGGCCUUCUGGAAACAGUGAGGGUUUUCGUUGGCUUCCUUACAUUUCCCAGACUUGCAAUGGUGACUACGUGUUACUAUUACGAGCGGGAAACUGAACGUGAACCGUGGGAAGGAAAGAUGAUGAGGGACGCAGAAGCAGAUGAGAGGGAGGUAGAGAUGGGCCUUGCCAGAGCAUCUCCCGGGAAGAGUUGGGUGCAGGAACGUUCCGCGGCACCUGGCUGGAGUCUUUCAACUCUAUGGUGUAUAUGUGGGAUCCACCUGCUUCCUGGCGAAGGAAGCGGGGAGAAUUCGCUAAAGAAAUCUUUAAUAUCUCCGAGAAGACAUUAAAGGGUUUUAAGAGUGUCACAGAAAAAGACACAUGUGACCAGGAAAGGACAGCCAGUCACUUAUCAUGGAAGUUCAGAGCUUCCUGCUUCUCCAUCCACCUCCUCCCAGGAAACCGUGUGGCUCCAAGGACAAUACUCUCUAAGCAACAAUUCUGCACAGAUGGGCCGAGGUGGGCUAACACGUGGAUGGUCAACGUUAAUGGAGAAAUUCAAUGGCUCCUACCCCAGAAGAGUUGGGUGCAGGGACGUUCCACAGCCCCCUAGGGUCCGGGGGAGCGGCAGAGUCAGCUUUUAGGUGGUGAAGGCCCCAGCCGUGGCACCAUGGGUCUCGGGGCCCUUGAGUCUGAGAGAAAUCAGAAACGACUUCACACCCAGUAGGAGAGGCAAAUGCGAACACCACUCGGAAACUGUAAAUGCCAUACCCAGACCGUGUCUCUCCGUUCAUUCCUUCAACACAAUGUGUUCUACGAAUAGAGAUUAACUACAGUCCCAGCGCAGUACCCUCUCCUCUCUGUGGGGGAAGGGAAGAUAAGUAGAGAUGAAUAAAACAUCCUUUUCCUGUCUAAGGAGAAGAAGGCUUUCUGAAGGGAGCUCUGGUAAUGAACUUGCAAGGGCAGUCUGUGGCCGGGGGCCUUCUCGUGGCUUCUGGCAGCAAAGAGCUCUGGCCCCCUGGGCUGACUGAGGGCUUAGCCAGGAGGGACGGAGAGGAGGCCAUUGGGGAUGGUGGGAUGAUUGACUGGUUGCUUCGGAGAGGUGCUGAAGAAGGGCUGUGACCUCCUCGCAUGGAAGGUCUUAAGAAAGAAGGUGGUGAUCAUGCAAAGUGCCUCAAACGGCGGCCCUUUGUUUGGGGGCUGCCUCUGGCCGCGUUCUACACUUGAUCUUAGCCAGAAGGCCGAGAAACGACGGCCAUGUUCUAUCCCAUACCUUCAUCAAACCCUUCCCACACAUGAUCCCACCAGCGGGAAGCUCUGAACUUCCAUGAUAAGUGACCGGCUGUCCUUUCCUGGUCACGUGUGUCUUUUUCUGUGACACUCUUAAAACCCUUUCAUGUCUUCUCGGAGAUAUUAAAGAUUUCUUCAGCGAAUUCUCCCCGCUUCCUUCGCCAGGAAGCAGGUGGAUCCCACAUAUACACCAUAGAGUUGAAAGACUCCAGCCAGAGAGACACGAGUGCCAUCAAUGAAAGCAGCAACCUGUCAGAGAAUAAUGUGAAUCAUCUGGACCAGCGGAAGCCAUUUUCAAGGCGUACCUUUCUGAUGUCAUGGCUUCUGGUUUCCAGGCUCUGGUCUCAAAUGGUCUCAGGCAAAGUACGUUAAUACUGAUGCCAUUUAUUUGUACCAACGUACGGGAAAGGUGGUGGAAAUGUUGGAAGACCUCUGCAGUCUCAUUAGUUGGGUUGAGGCUAGGACCCUGCUUUCCACGCCGGAAAUUGGGUCUAAAACCAGGAAAGUGAAAUCUCCCAACGACGCAAAUAACGUGCCAUAUGGGUACAGGUGAUCAGUGCUCAGUGCCCGUUCUAGACGAAAGGUGUCUCCAGGAUACUCUUUUAACAAAAGUAAUGAGCUGUUCUUUGGUUGUAGGAAAAGAGGAUGUUUGUUGAUCACACGUCUUUUUAAUCAGUAAUAGACACAGAUGUUUUCCCAUAGUUUUUUUUCUGACACAACUUCUCUAAUCAAAGGUUCUCAGCAUAAAAA